UCCAGAUCGGCCGCUGGUAAUAGAUAACUUGGGGAGUGAGAAAUUGCUCGCCGCUGAGCUGGACCCUAACCAUGAGUCCAGCUUCCAUCCAGAAUGAUUUCUUAAAGCUAUUUCAGCACCUAGAUUCAAAUACAAAUAUCCCAAGGUGCGAAGGAAAACAUUUGUUUAGGGAAACGUUAAAAAACACGAUAGUGGGUGCCUUGGAGCCAGCACCCGCCCGGAGGCCUGCUGAUGUCCCGGGGCAGAAAUAGCCUGUUUCAUCAUCCCCUCGGAGGACCGCGGCCUGCAUUCCUCGAGUAAGGAGCCGCACUCUGCUGUGCUUUUGGAGCAAAAUAACAGGCCCAGCUGCAGGCUGGGGGAAGGCCAGGCUGGGAUUUCAGGGGGAGAGUUUCAGAAGGAUGAGAAAUAAUCAGGGAAGAGGCAAGUCCAGGAGCUGUGAGCUGCGUGGAAAGAAUGUGAAUGAAGACACAAUUCUAAAUGUAGAACCACGGACGCUAUGUGAGCUGGCUCCCUAAUCAUCCAGAAAAACAAGGCCUGCGUGUACAUUCUGCAAGAGCAUAAAUAAAGCUGUCCUCAGGCGGCGGGCUACGGCAUCCCAUCCUUGCAGUGACUUCCCUGGACCCAGCUCGCGGCCGAACCCCUGGAACAGAGGCGGGAGGGGCCCAGCUGCCUGACCGCCUGGGUGAAAAUGGCCUCGCUCUUGCCUGGAUGUGCUUGAUGCUUACUAACCUCAUUCUGCAGCAAACUGGCUCUGUUCUGCAUCUGUCUUAUUCAGAAAUGUUCAAAAGCUGGUGAUGGGGGUAAUGCAGAAUUUCUGGGGCUGGGUGUUGGAAGCUUGCGUCCCCACAAAUGACAUGAGGCGACUCCCACCAUUCUUCCACCAUUGUGGUUGUACCAGACUGCUUGGUAGGAGGCCUCAGCAGAGGUUUCUUCACUAGUGCUCAUUCUUCUUUACGAGUUGUUUGCAUAAACUUCUUCAGGAGGGUGGAGCAUUUCCUGGGCUUAAUAAUAACAGCAAAAUAGUAAAUGCUAGCUAAUACUUAUCGAACCUAUAACUCGGUGCCCUGCACUGUCCUGAGUCUUUACCUAAAUUAACCUUGAUGCUGUACACUCUUUAUCUUAGGGCCUGGCACCAUUUUGUUCUAGCCCCACCAAUUGCUACCUGUCAGGGAGCUAAGACACGAUAAGGAAACCGGUAUUUCCCGAGCAUGCAUUAUGUGCCAGGCACCGCCUGUGUGUUCUUUUACUGAAUCCUCAUGCUAUCCCAGUAUGAUGUCUAUACAUACCCCCUCUUUACAGAUGAGCAAACUGAGGCUUUCAGAGGUCCUGGGUGUCAUUCAGCUAACAGUGGCACUGAGGAUGCAGAUGAGGGUUUGUCUGUCUGCCUGUCCAGUCUGUAUAUCUCUGUGCACCCCCCAGCCCCCAACAUAAGCGCACUCCCAGCCCAAGUCCAGGGAACAUGGCUGCCUUCCACCCACCUGUUUUCCUUGCCUCUCCCUGGCAAGGGAGCAAAGUCUGGCCAGGGCACCUCCUUAGCUACUAAUUUGUUAUGGGAACUGAGGGGAUUCUGUACCUCAGUGUCGGCCCAGUGAAAGUAUAUCCUCAGGGCUGGUGCAAGGAUGGGACGUCACUGUAGGGGGUACUGCUGGAGCUUGGGCCUCGGCCGGCUGCUUACCUGCUGAGGGGCCUGAGCAAUCAGACCCCUCCCUUUAGAUGGAUUUUCUUACCAGGAACUCUGAGUUGGCUCCUUGUGAAGGGAUGUUACGUGGUAAUGUGUGUCUGGUGCCUAGCUCAGAGGAGCUGGAUAUAUCGAACUGAAGGGGGCGGGGGCACCUGUUUGCAGCUCACAGCUGGAAAACAGCCCACUGGCUCAGGUUGCUGGUACCCCUUCCCUAGGGAUGCUGCUCUCCUAGCCUCACCAGCCUCGUGCCAGGAUGGGAGUGUCAUAGUCUUAUCUCGAGUCGCCUGGGCCAGGGGGGCUCUCCUUAAGGCCUUUCCUUCAGAAUUCUUUGCUUAGGAGUUUCUAGAGAAGGAUUUCGAUGCAAGAAAUAGAACGUGUGCUGUGAAAUGAAGUAAAUCCAGUUUAUUAAAAUGCCAACAUAAUCAUGGUGGCCAGCAGAGAGGUCAGCCACCGUGCACGUGGAGUCUGUGUAAGCCAUCUCUCCUCCUGGAGGGAUCUGGAAGUUGAGAGUCAGGAGGAGAAGGGGGAGUGGAGAGCUCUACUCCCUCACAUAUGGGCCCACAAACUUUUUCUGUAAGAGGCUAAAGUAAAUGUUUUCAGCUUUGCGGGCCAGAUGGUCUUUGUCACAACUGCCCAGCUCAGCAGUGCAAGGUGGUCAGAGCUGAUCCGUAAACAAAGGGAUGUGGCUGAGUUCCAAUAAAACUUUAUUUGUGGACACACAGAUUUGAAUUUUACAUAAUUUUCCCAUAUCACAAAAUAUUCCUGUUUUGGUUUUACCACUUAAGUAUGUCAAAAGCAUUUUUAGCUUAUGAGACUACACAACACCAGGGGCAGGACAGGUUAGCUCACGGAUCAGACGUGCUGAGUAUUGAGCCACUCUCUCCGCUUCAGCCACCGCCAAGCACAUGGGCUAAUGGGCACCCGAAACCUGGCUAGUCUGAACCAAGACAUGCUGUGAGGGGGGGGAAACGCACACUGGAUUUCCAAGACAGUGCCCCAAAAAAGUCCUCCCAAAACAAAAACAGACUGCGAAAGAUCUUCUGUAUAGAAUAGUGUAUUGGAUCUUGUGUGGAUAUGAUGAUACUUUGCAUGUUGUGGCUUUAAUAAAAUAUAUUAUUAAGAUUGCUUUUA